rnacentral:rRNA from 1 species
UACGGAGGUCUCAAGCGUUGUUCGGAUUCAUUGGGCGUAAAGGGUGCGUAGGCGGCGCGGUAAGUCGGGUGUGAAAUCUCGGAGCUUAACUCCGAAACUGCAUUCGAUACUGCCGUGCUUGAGGACUGGAGAGGAGACUGGAAUUUACGGUGUAGCGGUGAAAUGCGUAGAGAUCAUGAGGAAGACCAGUGGCGAAGGCGGGUCUCUGGACAGUUCCUGACACUGAGGCACGAAGGCCAGGGGAGCAAACGGG